rnacentral:rRNA from 1 species
CACUCCUGCGGGAGGCAGCAGUGGGGAAUAUUGGACAAUGGGCGCAAGCCUGAUCCAGCCAUGCCGCGUGAGUGAUGAAGGCCCUAGGGUUGUAAAGCUCUUUUGUGCGGGAAGAUAAUGACGGUACCGCAAGAAUAAGCCCCGGCUAACUUCGUGCCAGCAGCCGCGGUAAUACGAAGGGGGCUAGCGUUGCUCGGAAUCACUGGGCGUAAAGGGUGCGUAGGCGGGUCUUUAAGUCAGGGGUGAAAUCCUGGAGCUCAACUCCAGAACUGCCUUUGAUACUGAAGAUCUUGAGUUCGGGAGAGGUGAGUGGAACUGCGAGUGUAGAGGUGAAAUUCGUAGAUAUUCGCAAGAACACCAGUGGCGAAGGCGGCUCACUGGCCCGAUACUGACGCUGAGGCACGAAAGCGUGGGGAGCAAACAGGAUUAGAAACUCCAGUAGUCCCAUGA